GUCUUCGUGGUAUAGUGGUCAACACGCUGGGCGCGUAUUCCAGAGGUCCGUAGUUCGAAUCUCCGCGAAGAGG
rnacentral:tRNA from 1 species